AAAGAAUGAGUGCAGUCCGUCAAAAGAAUAAUGUAACUGAAGGGCAUCGUGUGUUGUUUCAUUAUGUUGAUGUCAGAUGAAUCACAGGUCUAUGUUAUGCAGAAAAGGCGGGAUCCAGGGUCAGAUUUAAUUGGACCAACGCGAACGUUGUUUCGAUUUAACUAACCACAACUGGACAUUAUAAGGUAUAAAGCAGUAUACUGCACUUCUCAUGUCUUAUGGACUCCUCAAACUGACAGACUGUCACACAACUGUAAUGGAAAGUCAAUGGACAUCAAGCCUGUGAAGUAUUUAGUUAUAAAAGACAUUUGCUUUCUUCAAUGGUAAAGCCGAAGACCCUGCGUCUACCAAAUUCAGUUCUUCUGGUUGAGAGAUGCACAAACUCAGCAUUGUCCAGGGCAGCAGACGGAAUGAAGGACAGACCUUUCAUCUUUCUCUUCCUCAGCCGUCCGCCUGUGUGAGGCAGCGAGGCACAGGGAGAUAAAGGGUUAAAGUCACAUGCAGAGAAAGAAAGAGCCACAGAGAGAAAGAAGAGGAUGAUGAGCAGAUGAGCAGUGGAAGAGUAAACCAUAAGCACACAGAGAAGAAGAGGCUGCGGGACUCCGAUAUUUUCCACUUGCAAAUAACACGGUAACACUGUCAUACAGUCACGCACACCUCCCGAGUUUAUUUCGACAUCACUAACAAUCUAUCAAACGCAAACGUAAACUCAAUCUCGGCCUCUGGCUUUAUCAAACACACAAACAAACACGCAGUCUAAACAAACACGCAAUCUGACAUGUGCAUUAGGUGCCGUGCAAAGUCUGUUUUGUUUAACGUCACGAUAUAUUAGGAGAAAGAGAAAAGCUCUGUAAAAGGGGUGAGAAUUGGGGAGUAUUAAAUAUAUGUGGGUCUCACCUUGUAGUUGGGGAUCUUUUGUUCCUCUCACUGUGGACGGCAUCAAAAAAAGCAGCAUUCCAAAACCUUAAAGUGUGCCUUUUAAAAAAGAUGAAGAAAAACAGAUGCAAUCAGAUGAAUAUUAGUGUGUAAAUGUAGCUCAUUAUCGUAGAUUGUGCCUGACUGGUGUUAAACUGCUUUACAGAUCUUGAACUUUGAAUGCCAACAAACCUACAUUAAAAACACAUCAGCCUUGUUUUUUCC